GUUGUGAUAUAUAUGUAUAUAUAUAUAAUUAAGGUUAAAAGAAAAAGAAAUAAAACAAGUGGGCCCCACCACUAUUAAAAACAUCAAAAAGGCCAUAAGGCCAUUACAGAUGCUCUCUCUCGGCAGUUUCCAAGUUCUCUCUCUGGACCAUUUGUUUUAUUUUUUGCCUUCACCAUUCAAACCUUGAUCUUGCUUUUUUCCUUUGGGAAUUUGGUAGAACAUUGUGAAGCAAAAUUGUUGAGCUCGUCGAGGCCGUCAAUUUGAUAGGAACCAAUCAUCAUUUGGUGCACUCCAAGGAGUUCAAAAUUCUAGGGUUCUUGGGCUUGGAUUUGGGGAUUUUAGGAGUUUUUACUUCCAUUAAGGAUAUGGAAAAGAGGUGGCGGACGACGGUCCACCACAGGUUUAGAUUAGCUUGAAGACCCAUUCUAUUUUGUUAUCUUUUGUAUUAGACUCUAAUAUUUUGUAAAUGUAAUAUUAACUACCUUGUGACACUUUAGUUUAAUUAGUAUAAUGUUGUAAGUUAUGGACUUUUAAUUCUAGCUACAUUUUAUGGACUAUAAUUUGAUGUAACUUAAGUGGGUUCCAUGUUUGGAUGAGAUGGAGGAACGGGACUUUUAUAUGUAUGUAACUAUUUUGGGAAUGUAGUAUAAUAUUUGAAUUGUGC